rnacentral:rRNA from 1 species
UGGGAAGGCCCAGACAGCCAGGAUGUUGGCUUAGAAGCAGCCAUCAUUUAAAGAAAGCGUAAUAGCUCACUGGUCGAGUCGGCCUGCGCGGAAGAUGUAACGGGGCUAAACCAUGCACCGAAGCUGCGGCAGCGACGCUUAUGCGUUGUUGGGUAGGGGAGCGUUCUGUAAGCCUGCGAAGGUGUGCUGUGAGGCAUGCUGGAGGUAUCAGAAGUGCGAAUGCUGACAUAAGUAACGAUAAAGCGGGUGAAAAGCCCGCUCGCCGGAAGACCAAGGGUUCCUGUCCAACGUUAAUCGGGGCAGGGUGAGUCGACCCCUAAGGCGAGGCCGAAAGGCGUAGUCGAUGGGAAACAGGUUAAUAUUCCUGUACUUGGUGUUACUGCGAAGGGGGGACGGAGAAGGCUAUGUUGGCCGGGCGACGGUUGUCCCGGUUUAAGCGUGUAGGCUGGUUUUCCAGGCAAAUCCGGAAAAUCAAGGCUGAGGCGUGAUGACGAGGCACUACGGUGCUGAAGCAACAAAUGCCCUGCUUCCAGGAAAAGCCUCUAAGCAUCAGGUAACAUCAAAUCGUACCCCAAACCGACACAGGUGGUCAGG